UUUAUUAAUUAUUUCUAUAGAGAAAGGUAAUCAUAAUAUAAGGAAUGUUAAGAGUAGAAGAAGUAGCAGAAUUCAUAACAAACAAUAAAGAUAAGAAAAGAAAUUGUUACAAGCUAUAUCUACAUGAAUGAAACUUAACAAAUUUCAUGAAGUUAACUUAUGAAAAUGACUAAUAAUUUUCUGUUGAACACUAAUGAGCUUAUCCAACAAGGCUCAAACAUUGUUGAACACAAAACUAGUGGAUCAGAAGAAGAAAAAUGCAUUGGAACAAAGAUGCAACAUAUCCCUAACAGUCGCCUAAGAGGUAUCGCCCCCACCCAAACAUCUAACAGAAACCGAGUCGAGUUCCUGUUCCCCAUUCUUCUAGACGAAAACCAACUCUGAUCACCCUCCACGUGUUCCCUAUAUAGUAAUUGUAAGUCUGGUGAAACUGUGAUGAGUUGCUAAAUAUCCAUCCUUUUAAGCAUGCCAAAAUUUUAAAUCUGUUGCCGCAUGCCAUGUACUGCUAAUAUGUUUGUGUGCUCAUCAUUUUGAUUUUUGUUUGUUGCUACAACAUAUUGGAGCAACAUAUUGUCAAAGAACAAACUUGAGAAAACGAUAUGAUGUGCAAAAGAAAAUCAGAAUUUUUGUGGUAGUGGAGCAACUACUUGUUCU
rnacentral:lncRNA from 1 species